rnacentral:rRNA from 1 species
UACAGAGGUCUCAAGCGUUGUUCGGAUUCAUUGGGCGUAAAGGGUGCGUAGGUGGCGCCGUAAGUCGGAUGUGAAAUUUCGGAGCUUAACUCCGAAACUGCAUUCGAUACUGCGGUGCUUGAGGACUGGAGAGGAGACUGGAAUUCAUGGUGUAGCAGUGAAAUGCGUAGAGAUCAUGAGGAAGACCAGUGGCGAAGGCGGGUCUCUGGACAGUUCCUGACGCUGAGGCACGAAGGCCAGGGGAGCAAACGGG